rnacentral:tRNA from 1 species
GGAGAGAUGUCCGAGUGGUCGAUGGUGCUUGACUCGAAAUCAAGUGUAGCUAAUAACUACCGUGGGUUCGAAUCCCACCCUCUCCG